UGGUAAUGCCGGAUGUUCCAGUUGAUCGCAUGGUCUUCUGGGAAAGCUUUCGCGGUAUGGGAUGGGGUCGCGUCCUAUCAGCUUGACGGCGGGGUAACGGCCCACCGUGGCUUCGACGGGUAGCCGGCCUGAGAGGGCGACCGGCCACAUUGGGACUGAGAUACGGCCCAGACUCCUACGGGAGGCAGCAGUGGGGAAUAUUGCACAAUGGGCGCAAGCCUGAUGCAGCGACGCCGCGUGAGGGAUGGAGGCCUUCGGGUUGUAAACCUCUUUUAUCGGGGAGCAAGCGUGAGUGAGUUUACCCGUUGAAUAAGCACCGGCUAACUACGUGCCAGCAGCCGCGGUAAUACGUAGGGUGCAAGCGUUAUCCGGAAUUAUUGGGCGUAAAGGGCUCGUAGGCGGUUCGUCGCGUCCGGUGUGAAAGUCCAUCGCUUAACGGUGGAUCCGCGCCGGGUACGGGCGGGCUUGAGUGCGGUAGGGGAGACUGGAAUUCCCGGUGUAACGGUGGAAUGUGUAGAUAUCGGAAAAGAACACC
rnacentral:rRNA from 1 species